rnacentral:rRNA from 1 species
UUGAUCCUGGCUCAGGAUGAACGCUGGCGGCAUGCCUAAGACAUGCAAGUCGAACGAGAUGGCCCAGUGAAGGUUGAGUGCUUGCACGAGACUGAAUCUGGAUUUCCAUCUAGUGGCAGACGGGUGAGUAACACGUGGGUGACCUACCUUUUCGUUGGGGAUAACAGUUGGAAACGAUUGCUAAUACCGAAUAAAAUGUAAGAGUCGAUUUUACAUUGAAAGGAGCCUUUAAAGCUUUGCGAUUAGAUGGGCCUGCGGCGUAUUAACUAGUUGGUGAGGUAAUGGCUUACCAAGGUGACGAUGCGUAGCCGAACUGAGAGGUUGAUCGGCCACAUUGGGACUGAGACACGGCCCAAACUCCUACGGGAGACAGCAGUUAGGAAUAUUCGUCAAUGGAGGAAACUCUGAACGAGCAAUGCCGCGUGAGUGAUGAAGGUCUUAUAGAUUGUAAAACUCUGUUGUAUGGAAAAAACGACUAGGUUAGGAAAUGAACUUAGUGUGAUGGUACCAUACCAGAAAGCCCCGGCUAACUACGUGCCAGCAGCCGCGGUAAUACGUAGGGGGCGAGCGUUAUCCGGAUUUAUUGGGCGUAAAGCGUGUGUAGGCGGUUUAUUAAGUUUAAGAUUAAAGCCCGGGGCUCAACUCCGGUAAGUCUUAAAAACUGGUAGACCUGAGUACGGUAGAGGCAAACGGAAUUUCUAGUGUAGCGGUGAAAUGCGUAGAUAUUAGAAGGAACACCAGUGGCGAAAGCGGUUUGCUGGGCCGUUACUGACGCUGAGGCACGAAAGCGUGGGGAGCAAAUAGGAUUAGAUACCCUAGUAGUCCACGCCGUAAACGAUGAGUACUAAGUGUUGGGGUUACCCAGUGCUGAAGCUAACGUAUUAAGUACUCCGCCUGAGUAGUACGGUCGC